AGGGCCCCCAGAUGGCUGACUUUACAAAGAAGAAAGUGACAAGCCAAGGGCUUAACCGGCCUACUUCGCCUCGGGCUCAACUUUGGAGACGACCUUCAUUUUUGGCCUCAACAACAGCCGUCGCCUUGGCCUCUGAAGCGACUUCGGCGAGGUCCGCCUCGACAGCAAACUCAAGAGUUCCCACUGACUCGCCCACCUCA
rnacentral:lncRNA from 1 species